UACGUAGGUGGCAAGCGUUGUCCGGAUUUAUUGGGUUUAAAGGGUGCGUAGGCGGUCUUAUAAGUCAGUGCUGAAAUAUCCCGGCUUAACCGGGAGGGUGGCAUUGAUACUGUAGGACUUGAGUAAAGUUGAGGUUGGCGGAAUUGACGGUGUAGCGGUGAAAUGCUUAGAUAUCGUCAAGAACACCGAUAGUGUAGACAGCUAACUAAGCUUUAACUGACGCUGAGGCACGAAAGUGUGGGGAUCAAACAGG
rnacentral:ncRNA from 2 species